UACAGAGGGUGCGAGCGUUAAUCGGAAUUACUGGGCGUAAAGCGCGCGUAGGCGGCUUUGCAAGUCGGGUGUGAAAUCCCCAGGCUUAACCUGGGAACUGCAUUCGAGACUGCAUUGCUAGAGUAUGGGAGAGGGAAGUGGAAUUUCCGGUGUAGCGGUGAAAUGCGUAGAUAUCGGGAGGAACACCAAUGGCGAAGGCAGCUCGCUGGAACGGUACUGACGCUGAGGCGCGAAAGCGUGGGGAGCAAACAGG
rnacentral:rRNA from 1 species